rnacentral:rRNA from 1 species
CUCUCGGAGUGACGGGUACACUGUGGGGACCGCCGCUGCUAAAGCGGAGGAAGGAAUGGGCAACGGUAGGUCAGUAUGCCCCGAAUAUCCCGGGCUACACGCGAGCUACAAUGGUUGGUACAAUGGGUAUCUACCCCGAAAGGGGACGGAAAUCUCCUAAAACCAAUCUUAGUUCGGAUUGAGGGCUGCAACUCGCCCUCAUGAAGCUGGAAUCCGUAGUAAUCGCGUUUCAACAGAACGCGGUGAAUACGUCCCUGCUCCUU